CUUGAGGCGUCAACUUCUAGUGAUCGCACGUCGAAACUAUUAGACUAGAGUAUACGUAGGUGGUAAAGGGUAAUUUCCAGUGGACGGUGAAAUGCGUAGAGAUUGGAAAGAACACCGAUGGCGAAGGCACUUUACUGGGCUAUUACUAACACUCUAGAGACGUAAGCUAGGGUAGCUAAAUGGGAUUAGAUACCCCAAUGUAGUCUCUAGCCGUAUAACAAUGGAUACUAGAUGUUGAACAGAUCGACCUGUGCAGUAUUAAAGCUAACGCGUUAAGUAUCCCGCUCUGGGAAGUAUGCUCGCCAUAGAGUGAAACUCAAAGGGAUUGACGG
rnacentral:rRNA from 1 species